AUUUAUAUAGUUUAAUCAAAACAUUACAUUUUCAUUGUAAAAUUGGAUAUUUCUUAUAAAUA
rnacentral:tRNA from 1 species